rnacentral:lncRNA from 1 species
AAUGAAGCAUCUGUGGUGCCAAGAGGUAGAGGCAGCAUGUCGACAAUGAGCAUCUCCUUCCGCGAGGGCCCAUUGGCUUUCAGAGCACCUUGUUACUGUCAGAGGGAGCCACAUGUGGGAGGCUCAGGGCCAAAUUAAGUCUGUGAACUUAGAAUCAGGCACUCAGUGAAUCUGAAGCUUGAAAUAAGAAGACAACCUCAUCUGGGGGAAAAAUUGAACCAGGAAAUUAAAUGGCUUCAAGGAGAAACAGAGGUUCCUGCCUGUGCUGGCCAAAGGGUGAUUGCAGAGGAGAGGAAAGCGGUCCUGCCCAGCUCCCCAGACCUGCUGGCUUUCCCAGGUCACUGAAUGUCACUGAGUUAUCCCCAAGUAUCCAUGUCACAGCUCUGGCACACUGCCCUUAACCUCAACUUGACCCUGCUGCAUACCUGGUGAGGUAUCCACUUAGGAUUGGGAAGCUUGACAAACAUGGUAACCCCAAAGAGCUAGUGACUUUGGCUUGUAUAUUUUGAAAAUAUUCCCUGGAUGAUUUUGAUGUGCAUAGACAGUGUGGCCUGAAGAGAGCAGCAAGUGAUGAGGCUAGAAAAUAAAAU